CCCAAGUAGAUUCAGAAACAACAAUAGACUUCUAUUACUAUAUACUGGCAAUAAUAACCACACAGCUAACAUAUUACUUACUAUGUUUGUGUCCCAAAUAGAACCCUAUUCUCUACAUAGUGCACCCUAUGGGCCCUGGUCAAAAGAAGUGCUCUAUAUAGGGAAUAGGGUGUCAUUUGAGACACAUUCUAUAUAUAUAUAUUUCCAUAUACGGGGCAAUUUUUAUGCUGCUAUAAUGACUUGGCUGGUGAAAGCCUGCAUGGCUAACUGAUGACUUACUUCUACAAUAUUUAUAGGUAUAGUUUUACUUCUCAUUUCCCAUUUUUUGGCAAUUUCAAGCAUCGUUUACCCACCGACCAACUGCACUAACCAUUACAGCAUUUAUAUAUUUCUUUCCAGAGAUGGCAUGUUGGAAGAGGUUAUAGGAGUGUGUGUGUGUGUGUGUGCCUGCUCCCAUGUGUGCUGUUUGUGUGUGUGUGCCUGUUUGUGUGUGUCUGCUCCCAUGUUUGCGUGUGCGCGUGUGCCUGCUCCCAUGUGUGCCUGUUUGCGGUGUGUCUGCUCCCAUGUGUGCCUCUGCCUGUUCCUGCUUGUGCUCCCAUGUGUGCAAGUGAGUGAGUGACAGAAUUUGUCGUAUUUACAUUUUUUUUUUUACAGACACACUUAUCCAGAGUGACAUAAAGGAGCUAUUACGGUUAAGUGCCAUGCUCAUGGGCACAUCGCCAGAUUUUUCACCUAGUCGGCUCGGGGAUUCGAACCAGCGGACCUUUCCGUUACUGGCCUAACGCUCUUAACCCCUAGGCUAUCUGCCUCCCCCCAGUGUUCCGUACUCCUCCAUGGUUACAGCAGGCAGGUUACUAGGGAGAGGGUCUGGUCAGCCCAACACUCAGGCCAGCACUCAGGCCAGCACUCAGGCCAGCACUCAGGCCAGCACUCAGGCCAGCACUCAGGCCAGCCCUCAGGCCAGCCCUCAGGCCAGCCCUCAGGCCAGCCCUCAGGCCAGCCCUCAGGUCAACACUAACCUACCAUUAACCCAACACUUGUUUUGGCUCUAUACUCCAGCACUUAGAAAUGGUGUUGUGUGUUCCUUUCAAACAACUCAACUGUAGUUUCAUCUGUCCACAGAAUAUUUGUCAGUAGCGCUGUGGAACAUCCAAGUGCUCUUUUGUAAACUUCAGACGUGCAGCAAUGUUUUUUUGGGGGACAGCAGUGGCUUCUUCUGUGGUGUCCUCCCAUGAACACCAUUCUUGUUUAGUGUUUUACGUAUCGUAGACUCGUCAACAGAGAUGUUAACAUGUUCCAGAGAUUUCUGUAAGUCUUUAGCUGACACUCUAGGAUUCUUCUUUACCUCAUUGAGCAUUCUGCGCUGGGCUCUUGCAAUCAUCUUUGCAGGACUGCCACUCCCAGGGAGAGUAGCAACAGUGCUGAACUUCCUCCAUUUAUAAGGCUUUUAGAGAUACUUUUGUAUCCCUUUCCAGCUUUAUGCAAGUCAACAAUUCUUAAUCUUGGGUCUUCUGAGAUCUCUUUUGUUCGAGGCAUGGUUCACAUCAGUCAAUGCUUCUUGUGAAUAGCAAACUCAAGUUUUGUGAGUGUUUUUUAAAGGGCAGGGCAGCUCUAACCAACAUCUCCAAUCUCAUCUCGUCUCAUUGGUUGGACUCCAGGUUAGCUGACUCCUGACUCCAAUUAGCUUUCGGAGAAGUCAUUAGCCUAGGGAUUCACAUACUUUUUCCAACCUACACUGUGAAUGUUUAAAUGAUGUAUUGAUAAAAGAAUGUAUAUGUUUAAAGAUAAUAAUUAAAUAAUUCUACCCUGAAACUUAACUAUUA
rnacentral:lncRNA from 1 species